UGCUUCUCCCCACCACCACCCCACCUUUAUUUUCUACGAUCCAUCUUCCAGCGGGAGACCAUUACCCAGUCAAACAAUGUUCAAUUUCAUCUGCAUUACCGCUUCAAGAGAACACACAGAGAGCUCACACAAAUGGUUGGCUGGAGAAAUGCACGCAGAAAUUUCCAGCCUCUUGGACGAGAGUUAGAGGAAGGAGAAAUAAGCAGUGACUCACUGGGGGAAAAAAAAUCAAUACGUUUCAGAAUGGGCUAAAAAUGUCACCAUAAAAAAAGUUUAAUGUUUAUGAGGGCAAGAGUGGAACAGGAUGUCUCCUCAGUUUCACACAGAAAUAUGGGUUUUGGUGAGACAUGACAGAGGCCACUCUGGGCAAGGAUUUUUAGAGUGGGAUGCUGCUGGAGGAGUGGAGCCCCAGAUCAAGAGGAAGGCCAAGUGUGAACAGGUGGAAGAGGUGUUGAGAGAACACUGACACAAGGCCAACACAUCAGAUCAGCCCAGAAACGGAUGUGGAAGAGAAGACCACAUAUCCAAUGACACCGAUCCCAGUUGCCAAGAACCAAUCCCCAGG
rnacentral:lncRNA from 1 species